rnacentral:rRNA from 1 species
CCCGCCGUGCAUGUGGGGAAAGCUGAAGCAGCAAGGCCCGCGUGAAUGAUGAAGGUUUUCGGAUCGUAAACCUCUGUUAUUAUAGAAGAACAUGGCGUGAGUAACUGUGCAUUUCUUGACGGUACCUAAACAAAAAGCCACGGCUAAUUACUUGCCAGCAGCCGCGGUAAUACGUAGGUGGCAAAAAUUAGCCGGAAUUAUUGGGCGUAAAGCGCGCGUAGGCGGCUUUUUAAGUCUGAUGUGAAAGCCCUCGGCUCAACCGGGGAAUGGCUUUGGAAACUGGAAGACUUGAUUGCAGAAAAGGAAAGUGGAAUUCCAUGUGUAGCAGUGAAAUGCGUAGAUAUAUGGAAGAACACCGGUGGCGAAGGCGACUUUCUGGUCUGUAACUGACGCUGAUGCUCAAAAGCGUGGGGAUCAAACAGGAUUAUAUACCCUGGUAGUCCACGCCGUAAACGAUGACUGCUAAUUGUUGGGGGGUUUCCGCCCCUUAGUGCUGCAUCUAAAGCAUUAAGCACUCCGCCUGGGGAAUACGACCGGAAGGUUGAAACUCAAAGGAAUUGAGGGAUUU